rnacentral:rRNA from 1 species
UGGGGAAUAUUGCACAAUGGGCGCAAGCCUGAUGCAGCCAUGCCGCGUGUAUGAAGAAGGCCUUCGGGUUGUAAAGUACUUUCAGUCGGGAGGAAGGCGAUAAGGUUAAUAACCUUGUCGAUUGACGUUACCCGCAGAAGAAGCACCGGCUAACUCCGUGCCAGCAGCCGCGGUAAUACGGAGGGUGCAAGCGUUAAUCGGAAUUACUGGGCGUAAAGCGCACGCAGGCGGUCUGUCAAGUCGGAUGUGAAAUCCCCGGGCUCAACCUGGGAACUGCGAUUGAAACUGGCACACUAGAGUCUUGUAGAGGGGGGUAGAAUUCCAGGUGUUGCGGUGAAAUGCGUAAAGGACUGGAGGAAUACCGGUGGCGAGGGCGGCCCCCUGGACGAAAACUGACGCUCAGGUGCGAAAGCGUGGGGAGCAAACAGG